rnacentral:rRNA from 1 species
UACGGAAGGCAGCAGUGGGGAAUAUUGCACAAUGGGCGCAAGCCUGAUGCAGCCAUGCCGCGUGUAUGAAGAAGGCCUUCGGGUUGUAAAGUACUUUCAGCGGGGAGGAAGGCGAUGCGGUUAAUAACCGCGUCGAUUGACGUUACCCGCAGAAGAAGCACCGGCUAACUCCGUGCCAGCAGCCGCGGUAAUACGGAGGGUGCAAGCGUUAAUCGGAAUUACUGGGCGUUAAAGCGCACGCAGGCGGUCUGUUAAGUCAGAUGUGAAAUCCCCGAGCUUAACCUGGGAACUGCAUUUUGAAACUGGCAGGCUUGAGUCUUGUAGAGGGGGUAGAAUUCCAGGUGUAGCGGUGAAAUGCGUAGAGAUCUGGGAGGAAUACCGGUGGCGAAGGCGGGCCCCUGGGACAAAGACUGACGCUCAGGGUGCGAAAGCGUGGGGAGCAAACGAGGAUUAGGAUAACC